rnacentral:lncRNA from 1 species
GUAGAAAAUCUUUGAACUUCAUAUAGAUGGUGUUAAUGUGGGUGAGUUCAGAGCCAUGUGUAAAGUUCCAGGAGGGGAGUGCUUGCUGGCUUCUCCCUUAUCCCUCAACCAGAUCCCAGCCCCAGCCACUUUCUGUUUCUCUUCUCUGGAUAAAACUAUCAUUCAUCUUCACCUGUUUCUAUUUUCAUGGAUUACUGUCUCAUUCAUCUCAAGUAGCUCAAGUGAAUGGCUGUUUUUCCAUUGGAUACAGGAAGACUGAGGGUGACCUGACCCUCAUGGUGUGCUUGCUUAUUUGAAUGUCUGAUGGUUUUAUGGGUGUAGUCCUGCUGGAGCAGAAAGAAUAUCUGUUAGGAGCCUGCCUCUGGGCUCUGGUUCUAACUGUGCCACAAACUCAUCGUAGCCUUAGACAAUUCUCUUGUCUCUCUGGGCCUCAGUUUACCCAUCUGGAAAAUGAUGGGUCUGAAUUUAAUACCUUGAGUAUCAUCCAGCUGUGACAUACUACAACUCAGGCAAGAAGCAAAUUCUCCUGACACUCCAUACUCCUAUCCAGUGUUCUCUGACGUCCUUCCCCAAGAGCUGUGGUACCCUACCCUGCCCACAUUAUGUGAGGCAUUAUAGCACAUAGGUUAGAAGUGUGGUCUCUGGGCCGGGUGUGGUGGCUCAUGCCUGUAAUCCCAACACUUUGGGAGGCCGAGGCAGGUGGAUCACGAGGUCAGGAGAUCAAGACCAUCCUGGCUAACACAGUGAAACCCCAUCUCUACUAAAAAUACAAAAAAUUAGCUGGGUGUGGUGGCACAUGUCUGUCGUACCAGCUACUUGGGAGGCUGAGGCAGGAGAAUCACUUGAACCUGGGUGGCGGAGGUUGCAGUGAGCCAAGAUCGUGCCACUGCACUCCAGCCUGGGCAACAGAGCGAGACUCCAUCUCAAAAAAAAAAAAAAAAAAGAAGUGUGGUCUCUGGAGCUAGACCUAAGAAUCCAAUUCAGACUCUCUUACUUACUGACUGUGUAAUUUGGACAAGUUACUUAGCAUUUAGCAUCUCUAUUUCUUUAAUCAUAAAAUGAACAUAUUAACACUUACUUCCUAGGGCUGUUGUGAAGAUAAACUGAGUUGAGGUAUGACAGUACCUAGCAUGUAGUAAGCAUCAUUAAAUGGUGUCUGUUGUUUUCACAUAUUGUAAAGAAGAAAGCUUCGUGCAUCUCUUGGAAUUUCUGAGGACGGUGAAGCCACAGCUGGGAAAGUCUCAGGGAGCCAGGAGUUGCUGGCCUCCUGCUUUGCAUACUCAAAAUUGCUGGAAAGGGGCUAUAGCAGGGGGAGACAUUUUUUAAAAAUCCCAGUUAUUGCUAUUCCUCAUGAGUAUGUAUAUAUCACCUGGCAUCAGUACUCUGCAUAGAAAGAAGCAUAGCUAAAGAAAAGACACUUUGCUUUUAAUAUAACAGCUGUUUUCAGGGGAAUAGGGUGGAUGAGGAUAGGGAGUACUGGCCCUCUGUCCUCAGGCCUCCCUGUCACCAGCUCAGUCACGUCUAUCUUACAAAUCCCCAUCUAGCAGGAAGCCUGCUCUGCCCUUGGACUAUAGACCUGAAGGGCUGUUGUUAAGUUACAACGUUCCCAGUGGAAGGAGGACAGUACUUAAAAGUUACAAGAUGUGGGUUCUGUUCUUAGUUCUUAUGGCCUGUCAGCCAGGGAACUCCUGGCCAGUAGUCUCAUCCUUGAACUUCUUCUUUUUUUUUUUUUUUCUCAAGACGGAGUCUCGCUCUGUCGCCAGGCUAGAGUGCAGUGGCACGAUCUUGGCUCACUGCAACCUCUGCCUCCUGAGUUCAAGCUAUUCGCCUGCCUCAGCCUUCCAAGUAGCUGGGAUUACAGGUGCUUGCCACCACGCCUGGCUAAUUUUUGUAUUUUUGGUAGAGACAGGGUUUCGCCAUGUUGGCCAGGCUGGUCUUGAACUCCUGACCUCAAGUGAGCCCAGCCCUCAUCCUUGAACUUCAAAUUUCCACCCCACCUUACUCCCACAGGCAUAUACCAGUUGUUCCUUUUUCUCUGUUCUUAUGCAGGAAAUGGCCUGAGGUCCAGGAGUCCCCUUGGUCCCCUUUUUCCCUCACUCUCAACAUUCAAUUAGUCUUCACAUCUACAGCCG